rnacentral:rRNA from 1 species
UCCUCCCUCUGGCGGCGUGCCUAAUACAUGCAAGUAGAACGCACAGUUUAUACCGUAGCUUGCUACACCAUAGACUGUGAGUUGCGAACGGGUGAGUAACGCGUAGGUAACCUGCCUGGUAGCGGGGGAUAACUAUUGGAAACGAUAGCUAAUACCGCAUAAUAUUGAUUAUUGCAUGAUAAUUGAUUGAAAGAUGCUAUUGCAUCACUACCAGAUGGACCUGCGUUGUAUUAGCUAGUAGGUGAGGUAACGGCUCACCUAGGCGACGAUACAUAGCCGACCUGAGAGGGUGAUCGGCCACACUGGGACUGAGACACGGCCCAGACUCCUACGGGAGGCAGCAGUAGGGAAUCUUCGGCAAUGGACGAAAGUCUGACCGAGCAACGCCGCGUGAGUGAAGAAGGUUUUCGGAUCGUAAAGCUCUGUUGUAAGAGAAGAACGGGUGUGAGAGUGGAAAGUUCACACUGUGACGGUAGCUUACCAGAAAGGGACGGCUAACUACGUG